UUGCAGCGCUCCCAAAUCUGCCUCUCACACACACGCCGUUGUCGCCGCCGCUGCCGCCGCUAUUCCUCGCCGCCACUGCCGCUGCCGCCGCCGACGUUCAUCUCCUUGACCGCCCCCGUCCAUGCACAUCCACCACGCGAUGCCUCGCCACCCUCUGAAUCUCACUGUGUGCUCCAUCUCGCCGCUCCCCUAGUUCCCUGCAUCUGCUCACUGCUCCCCAUUGACCCGAAGGCGGCUACCACCACUCAUGGCUCUCCUCUCUCAAGGACGUCGCUCCCUAUCCACCUAAAGGCCACCAGCAUUCAUGCCUCCCCCUCCCCCGCCCCUCCCCCGGUUCCCUAUUCCUGGUCGCUGCUCCCCAUCGACCUGAAGGCCGCCGACCACUCACACAUCAUCCGGCUGCUGCCCCUCUGUUGUAUUGCUGCUCGGACUUACUCCACCUGGUGCCUUGACGAGCGACCUACACUACCGGCCGCCGCUCCUCUGUCGGCUGCUACAUACACCGGCCUGCUGCACUGACCAGUGAUAUCUGCCACGUGACGCAGCUCCCCUGACGUGUUGCUGCUCCCACCCAAGGUUCUUGGGUUACUUAGAAGUGGUGAACAUAUUGAGGAAGAAGUAAUAGCCCUAGCUGCAGGCUCUUUAAUGGUUGCCAAGAAGUAUAAUAGCUAUGCCAUAAAUGGAUAUGUUUUCCACACGGAAUCAUAUCAUCAGGGUAGACCCAGGCAAAGCUAUGGAGUAGCUUUAGUUGGACAAACUGUGAGCAUUUCUGGACAUACUCAAACUAAGGCAUAUUAUGGUGUUAUUACUGAAAUCUUAGAAAUGACCUAUCAUCGGAAAGGAAACAUUGUGCUUUUGAAAUGUGGUUGGUUUGACAACAGAGUACAAGGUAAAUGGGUGAAGACUGAUAAGUUUGGUGUAACUAGUGUACACAUGGCACACAUUAUCAGCACCGGUGAAAAUCACAUGGAUGAACCUUUCAUUUUAUCAUCGCAAGCAUGUCAAGUUUAUUAUGUUCCUGAUAAACAAAAUAAAGAUUGGUCCGCUGUAAGGGUCUCACCGCCGCGUGACCUUUAUGGCAUUGAUGAAGUGAGAAAUCAGCAUCUGGAGUAUUUAUUGCAGGAACCGGUUAUUCCUAUAAAUUUAAAUGCAAAUUUUAAGGUUCUUGGUGAUGAUAUCUUGGUUAGAAAUGAUACAACUAAAUCAAAUGAGAAGAGGAAGGGGAAUGUCAAAAGGAGGAAGAGAGGAUGAAGUCUAUGCCAAACAGUAUGAGGACUUGAGGGCUGCAAAUAUUAGAGAUAAUCGUAGUAGGAUGGAAGAUAUGGCACUAAGAUAAAAAAAGGAUGCUGUCAAUAUAGAAUCCAUCCUACAUGAUUGUGCUGCGAAAAAGAGCAAGUCUGCCAGUACUCGUAAGAAAGCUCCUAAGACAACACAAACUGAUCUAAUAAUUGAACGUGAUAUCUGCGGCCUAGGCCAUCAAACAUUGACACACAAAAUCAAGAAGCUAUUGCUGAUCAGACUGUUGAAGAUAAUCAAGAAGUGGAAGAAGAUCCUAAAGAAGUUGAUGCGGAGAAGACAACGAGGAAGUUUACUAGAAAGGAGAUCUUGUGGGCAAGAGCAAAUGAAAAACGACCAUUGAUCAAAUUGAAAUAUAACAAACUAAAACAACCAAUUGGACCUGGCUCAAAAGAAUUUCCUGCUGCAGUCACAACACUUAUAAGAACUAGGUUGUUCCCUGUGGACAAAGCUGAUUGGAGAGAUGUCCCGGUUGAACAUAAUGAAAAACUAAUUGAUGACCUAUCUGCAAUAUAUGUGAUGGAGUACUGGCUCAAGAAUUAUUCCUUGCAGACUGCUGCGAAGAAAUGGAGAGCUUUCAAAGCUGAUAUGAAGGAAAAGGCUUUCAAAAUUGAUGACCCCUUGAAGAUUCUCACAAAGGAUGAGCUUAUUGAACGCUGUGAUGAUAGAAUAGAUCCUGAACAAUGGAAAUGGUUGGUCAAUCACUAGUUAUCUGAGAAAGGGCUAGAGCGUAGCAUAUGCGGCAAACAGAAUCGUUCUAAGGUGGUAACACCUCAUAUAACUGGAAGCAAAAGCUUUGCACGUGUUGGAGAUGAAUGUGCUAAAGAGUAUGGUCGUGAGCUAGGUAGGCAUGAGUUAUUUAUGAAGACCCAUACUAAAAAAAGAUGGGAAUGCUCUAGCUAAAGCUCAACCAAAAAUUGAUGAACUUAAGAAACCUGCAAUCCUUCAUCCUGAAUUGCUUGAAAGACCCAUAGAGAAAUGCGAUCUAUUUUCCCAUGUAUUUGGUCGUGAACCAAGGGGAUAUGUACGUGGAGUUGGUUUAGGACCAACUCCUGCUACUCUGGGCAUUGAUGGGUACCGCUCAUGUGCAUCCACAAGUGUAUAGAUGGCAAUCCGUGCUAGCCAGAAAACAGAAGAGCAAAACAUAUUGUUGAAGGGCGCUCUACAUCGACUAUUCGAUGAGGUCAGAGAACUUAGGGAAAUAGUGAAAGGUGGCAAAGGACAGGAAGAGAUACUUGAUGAUGAUGCAACAGAUCGUGCGUCCUCUCCUACACUGGAACAUGGAUCUAAUCCUUCACCAACCACUCAGAUGAGAGGAGUUUCUAGUGAUUAUGGUGAUCAUAAUGUGCAUGAGGACAUGAUGAACAAUCAUGAUGCUGAUGUGAUGGUUCCUAUUAGAGGAAGAGCUCCACUCCAACCCACUAGAGGACACGAGGGGGGUGGGAAAGAGGUUGUUCUACUUUCUGUUGAGAGGCCAUGUGGUCAACCCGUGGCUAAGGCUACUCUCCAAACAUCUAAUCCAGAAGCACGUGUGGGAGGAUCUCUUUUAGGUGUUGAGUACCAUGAAGUAGUUGUGAAUAGUGCGAUGAGAGGUGAUCAUAUACUUCCUCGGCAACAUGGAAAGCUGAAGAUGCUGGCAGAUUGCGUUGGGCAUUCUAUAGGUUGGCCGCACCUAAACAUUGUGAAUGAAGAAAGGGCAACAAAAACAUCCAAGGUUCAGCAUCUUCAGUAAGUUGCUCCUAUUCAUUGUGAGUAAUUGUGCUCCUUGAUCAACUUUUGCACCUAGUUUUGCUUCUUGAUCUUCAGAUUUGGUGCCAGUUCCCAUAUACACUGCGAGAAAAAUCUAACUUGAUGGUUUCGUGUGCUCUUUGUUCCCAUAUAAAAUACAAAAAAUUGUCGUAUACCUAUGACUCCUGUAACUUUGUUUUGCUAGGUGAAUGGAGACAACCUUAGAUAUAGUCCAGCAUGCAGUUACACAUGUAUUGAUACAUAUGCUUUAGCUUUUGUUUUACUGAAUGGACGAAUGGAGUUUUACUAAAACUUGAGAUUAUAGUUGGAUGUGGUACAACCAGUUCUCAGCGUAUGGCUUAUUGUUUUGUUACACAUUGUGGUCCUGCCAUGGCGGGUGUUGCUUGUCUUUAGGUUGGUAUUCUAUACUCAUAUCCUUCCACAUAGUACAUGUUUUUCCUGCUGAAAACCUGGAAUUAUGGACAUGAAUGGCUUACUAUAAUUUUACUGUCAUGUAUAUAUUUUGUGGUGGCAUGCUGUCAAAUUUUGUCUAAAAUAUGUUAAAAUGGCGCUGAAAUUGACCCUUGUGUAUAUGUGUCUUUUGCGGACGAGAACCGGAGGAAGAAUUUCGACCCUUCGUUGUAGAUGCCUGAGCAAUGAACAUUGGCAUGCUUUUGGGAAUAUGCAAUUUAAGUUGUCUCAUUUUGUUGUCUGGUUUGUACUGAAUUACAUGAUCUGUAUGCUAUCAAUCAGAUUUGUGAGAUCUA